rnacentral:rRNA from 1 species
UACGUAGGUGGCAAGCGUUGUCCGGAAUUAUUGGGCGUAAAGCGCGCGCAGGUGGUUUCUUAAGUCUGAUGUGAAAGCCCACGGCUCAACCGUGGAGGGUCAUUGGAAACUGGGGAACUUGAGUGCAGGAGAGAAGAGUGGAAUUCCACGUGUAGCGGUGAAAUGCGUAGAGAUGUGGAGGAACACCAGUGGCGAAGGCGACGCUGUGGCCUGUAACUGACACUGAGGCGCGAAAGCGUGGGGAGCAAACAGG